CCUACGGGCGGCAGCAGUGAGGAAUAUUGGUCAAUGGACGAGAGUCUGAACCAGCCAAGUAGCGUGAAGGAUGACUGCCCUAUGGGUUGUAAACUUCUUUUAUAUGGGAAUAAAACGUUCCACGUGUGGGAUUUUGUAUGUACCAUAUGAAUAAGGAUCGGCUAACUCCGUGCCAGCAGCCGCGGUAAUACGGAGGAUCCGAGCGUUAUCCGGAUUUAUUGGGUUUAAAGGGAGCGUAGGUGGAUUGUUAAGUCAGUUGUGAAAGUUUGCGGCUCAACCGUAAAAUUGCAGUUGAAACUGGCAGUCUUGAGUACAGUAGAGGUGGGCGGAAUUCGUGGUGUAGCGGUGAAAUGCUGAGAUAUCACGAAGAACUCCGAUUGCGAAGGCAGUUCACUGGACUGCAACUGACACUGAGGCUCGAAAGUGUGGGUAUCAAACAGGAUUAGAUACCCCAGUAGUC
rnacentral:rRNA from 1 species